UCAGGGUUGCGAAUGACCACAGUCACCAAUUCUUGUCAUGUGUCUUGCCCACGUAUGUCUGAUCCCUGAAUUGUGUGUACUGAAACUCUAAUUUCCCUCUGGGAUUAAUAAAGUAUCUUUGAUUUGAUUUGAUUGAUUUCCAGUUGCUCUUUGCUGCUUGGCUACUUCCUCUAAUUUAUUUGUCAGCCACUCACUCUUUAGUUCGCUUGCUUCAGGUAAGAAAAAGUUUUAAAUCCUGUGCUUGUUAUUAUAGUUGUAAUUUUGGUUUACAAAAGGCAGUAGCAUACAUCUGCCCUCAAACAAUGCUGCAUGGGUAGCUACCGCAUGGUAGCUUACGUACUGUAGUUUAUUCGGUCUGUUCAAGUAAAGUCAAACUAACUAACUAACUAACUAACUAACUAACUAACUAAUUGCUCACUAAUUUAUACCUCCUUUUGUUUUUCCUUCAGGCCACACAAAUGGAGGCCCAUUUUUCUGAGGAGGACUAAGUCAAUCUGUCCUUUCAUCUCUUUCAUCCAAGCCACAGGGAGAUGUGCAAUGUAUGGAAAACAAUCUGAACAUGCCGACACCCAGCAGAGGGUCAUGUGGACAAAAUCCGCAAAACAUACAGUCCGACCCGGUCUCCCAUGAGACCCGGUGUACAGGUCACCUGCUUGUGUGGGAUCAGAUGUCUCUAAAGGAGCUUUCUGAGCUGAAGAAGAUGUGAGGUUCUGGACUUUUCCUCAGACAGGCUCAUGGAUGCGUCGCCACACUGGAGACAGGAACCAGCGCCAUUCAGCCAAAGUUUCAUCAUCAGAGAACAUUUUCUAAGUGACGAGUCUCUCUGAGAGACGGGGUUUGGAAAACACUGCUUCAGUGGGAGGAACCUUCCUGCAUGGUUCUGGUUCUGCUGCUGCCGGUGACCAACGCGCUCCCUUCUCCACAUCUUCAGCUCGCUGUCCACCUUAUGUGUGCGCUGACAGCGAGCUGCACUGAGCAGUGUCCGGUAUAAUGCUCAGAUGUUCUGAUGGGAAUCUACCUCCACGAUGUGCGUAAUCAUUAAAAUGUCAGCACAUCUGCA